UUCCCUUCUCUCUCCUCUUUUCUCUCAUCCAACUCAGCAAAAUUAUAGUAUUUUAAUCCUUACAGCUUGCUAACUGUACCUUAUUGUACUUGUUCUGAAACCGACGAUGAAUCACGCUAACCGAGGAGGAUUAGCUUAAGCAAUGCCUUGGAGAUGUGUGCUGUUCGUAGUAGCUUACGUGCGCAACGCGACAGGAGUAUGCAUUGUGAAUUGGCGCACGCAUGGAUGAGCUGUGUGUUAUGACUUAUGAAACGACCCCAGCAACUUGGUACUUCACGUAAUGAUGGCCACAAGCGUUGAUCCAACAUCAUCAGCGGAGCGGAGCGACCAAACCAGCAGCAAGGCCUGGGGGCUAACCCGCCACUGUUCCAGACAGAAGAACCAGGAGCAUGCACCCAGCCACCGUACCC
rnacentral:lncRNA from 1 species